UGGGGGGAUAUUUUAAUCUUCUAAAUGCGCAGAAUAAGGAAAGCUAGACGCCCCCCCCACAUGUUGCGCAACUCGCCCGCUAGGGGACGCCCCCUCACUCUCUAAAACUGCGUAGUUCACGCAGCUGACAGAGCUUCACAGAAACCCGGUUGGUUUUUGCCCGCCUCAGGCUCAAGCUGUCUCUUUAAAUGCGGCUCCUGAAAUAUUACUCCGAAGGUUCUCAUUGUAAUGGUGCCACCUGCAGAGCAAAUCCCUGUGGUGCAAGGAGCACCUGGGGCAACUUUUUAGCGCUGAAAAGUGAUAUGUUCCAAUGAGAUCAGCUAUUGACCACCCUAACCCAUUCAUAAUUAUAUAUCCCAGCUGUUCCUGAGAGGUAAAGUAGCAAACUUGUGAAACUUUUCUUGUUUCAACCCUUUGCUAUUCUAACAUUGAUUCUUGAGCACAAAAAAGAAAUAGACUUUCCUUUUUCUUUGUGAAGUAUUUUC
rnacentral:lncRNA from 1 species